GAAUCUGCACAACCAGUGGAGCAUGUGGUUUAAUUCGAGACGAACCGAAGAACCUUACCUGGACUUGACAUUCUACUUUUAAUGCCACUUAGAGAUAAGUUGGAAUCAUACUUGUUAUGAGAGGUAGAACAGGUGUUGCAUGGCUGUCGUCAGCUCGUGCCGUAGGGUGUUCCCUUCAGUGGGGUAACGAGCGCAACCCCUGCCGUAUGUUGAAUUGUUCAUACGGGACUACUUAAGUUUUUCUUAGGAGGAAGCGGGGACGACGUCAAGUCAGCAUGGCCCUUAUGUCCAGGGCUACACACAUGCUACAAUGGAGCCGACAAUGGGUUGCCAAGUGGUAACACGGAGCUAAUCCCAUCAAACGGCUUCUCAGUGGGGAUUGAGGGCUGCAACUCGCCCUCAUGAACGAGGAAUUGGUAGUAA
rnacentral:rRNA from 1 species